AAUCAACGCUGGCGGCGUGCCUAACACAUGCAAGUCGAACGCGAAAGCCCCGCAAGGGGUAAGUAGAGUGGCAAACGGGUGAGUAACACGUGGGUGACCUGCCUUCGAGUGGGGGAUAACGUCCCGAAAGGGACGCUAAUACCGCAUGACAUCCUGCUUUUGAAAAAGCGGAGAUCAAAGCUGGGGAUCGCAAGACCUAACGCUUGAAGAGGGGCCCGCGCCUGAUUAGCUAGUUGGUGAGGUAACGGCUCACCAAGGCGACGAUCAGUAUCCGGCCUGAGAGGGCGGACGGACACACUGGGACUGAGACACGGCCCAGACUCCUACGGGAGGCAGCAGUGGGGAAUUGUUCGCAAUGGGCGCAAGCCUGACGACGCAACGCCGCGUGGAGGACGAAGAUCUUCGGGUCGUAAACUCCUGUCGAGCGGGACGAACGCUUCGCGGAUGAAUAAUCCGCGGAAUUGACGGUACCGCUAAAGGAAGCCCCGGCUAACUCCGUG
rnacentral:rRNA from 1 species